rnacentral:rRNA from 1 species
UAGGGAAUCUUCGGCAAUGGGGGGAACCCUGACCGAGCAACGCCGCGUGAGUGAAGAAGGUUUUCGGAUCGUAAAGCUCUGUUGUUAAGGAAGAACGAGUGUGAGAAUGGAAAGUUCAUGCUGUGACGGUACUUAACCAGAAAGGGACGGCUAACUACGUGCCAGCAGCCGCGGUAAUAAGUAGGUCCCGAGCGUUGUCCGGAUUUAUUGGGCGUAAAGCGAGCGCAGGCGGUUAGAAAAGUCUGAAGUGAAAGGCAGUGGCUCAACCAUUGUAUGCUUUGGAAACUGUUUAACUUGAGUGCAGAAGGGGAGAGUGGAAUUCCAUGUGUAGCGGUGAAAUGCGUAGAUAUAUGGAGGAACACCGGUGGCGAAAGCGGCUCUCUGGUAUGUAACUGACGCGGAGGCUCGAAAGCGUGGGGAGCGAACAGG